rnacentral:sRNA from 1 species
AUAUAUAAUUAGUCUAAAUCUAAUAAAUUCAAAAACAGACAUGUGUAAGUUGUAGACCACAGAUUAAGAAGAAAAUAAUUUAUUUUCAUGUUUAUACCACUCUUAACCUACUGAGUCAAAACUUAACCAUGGU